rnacentral:misc_RNA from 1 species
UCCUGGUUAACCCAGGCAGUCUCAUUAGAGUCCCCAGCAUUACCUGUUGGCAACUAAUGAUAAGGGUUGCGCUCGUUGCGGGACUUAACCCAACACCUCACGGCACGAGCUGACGACAGCCAUGCAGCACCUGUGCAGAGGCUCCGAAGAGCUGCAUCAUCUCUGAUACAUUCCUCUGCAUGUCAAGCCCAGGUAAGGUUCUUCGCGUUGCAUCGAAUUAAACCACAUGCUCCACUGCUUGUGCGGGUCCCCGUCAAUUCUUUUGAGUUUCACCCUUGCGAGCGUACUCCCCAGGCGGCACACUUAACGCGUUAGCUUCGGCACAACUAGGGUUGAGUCCAGUUACACCAAGUGUGCAUCGUUUACGGUGAGGACUAC